CUCGCCCAGAUGGAGGUGUAAACAGGAUGUGCAUGUUACCAUGGAGGUCACCUUAGCAACAACCAGCAACUGCAGUGGUAGAGAGGCGGCAGGAGGAGGAGGAGGAAGAGGAGGGCUCCCUGGAUACCACCGGCAACUAGGUCUCUGGAAUAAAGAUUCAAAGACAGACAAAAACGAUUAGAGAGGCCGUGAGGAUCCAGCAUCUGUGAGGGCAAGAGAUGUCGCCUCGUAGCCUGGGGAGCAGAGGUCCAGCAGGAAUAUGAGGAGUGCAUUAAAGUCCUUUCAUCCUGACUGGCACAGGGGCAGAGUCCUGCAACAUCUGUUCUGCAAUGUGGAAUGACCUGUGAAAACACUGUCACAUAUCAGUUCUAGGUAGGACUGCUGGGAACCCCCCACCUCACAGAUGAAGACACCGCAGUCUGACGAGG